UACGGAGGGUGCAAGCGUUAAUCGAAAUUACUGGGCGUAAAGAGUACGUAGGUGGUUAAGUAAGUUAAUUGUGAAAUCUCGGGGCUUAACCUCGAAACUGCAGUUAAAACUGCUUUACUAGAGUGAGAUAGAGGAAAGGAGAAUUCCCGGUGUAGAGGUGAAAUUCUUUGAUAUCGGGAGGAAUACCAGCGGCGAAGGCGCCUUUCUGGAUCUAUACUGACACUGAGGUACGAAAGCGCGGGUAGCAAACAGG
rnacentral:rRNA from 1 species